AGAGUUUGAUCCUGGCUCAGGACGAACGCUGGCGGCGUGCCUAACACAUGCAAGUCGAGCGAGGGGAGUUCUUCGGAACAAACCUAGCGGCGGACGGGUGAGUAACACGUGGGUAACCUGCCUCAAAGAGGGGGAUAGCCUUCCGAAAGGAAGAUUAAUACCGCAUAAUCCAUUGUUUCCGCAUGGGGAUGAUGGUAAAGAUUUAUCGCUUUGAGAUGGACCCGCGGCGCAUUAGCUAGUUGGUGAGGUAAUGGCUCACCAAGGCGACGAUGCGUAGCCGACCUGAGAGGGUGAUCGGCCACAUUGGAACUGAGACACGGUCCAGACUCCUACGGGAGGCAGCAGUGGGGAAUAUUGUACAAUGGGCGCAAGCCUGAUGCAGCAACGCCGCGUGAGUGAUGAAGGUCUUCGGAUUGUAAAGCUCUGUCUUUUGGGACGAUAAUGACGGUACCAAAGGAGGAAGCCACGGCUAACUACGUGCCAGCAGCCGCGGUAAUACGUAGGUGGCAAGCGUUGUCCGGAUUUACUGGGCGUAAAGGGUGCGUAGGUGGAUAUUUAAGUCAGAUGUGAAACCCCUGGGCUCAACUCAGGGACUGCAUUUGAAACUGGAUAUCUGGAGUGCAGGAGAGGUAAGUGGAAUUCCUAGUGUAGCGGUGAAAUGCGUAGAGAUUAGGAAGAACACCAGUGGCGAAGGCGACUUACUGGACUGUAACUGACACUGAGGCACGAAAGCGUGGGUAGCAAACAGGAUUAGAUACCCUGGUAGUCCACGCCGUAAACGAUGAGUACUAGGUGUAGGGGGUAUCGACUCCCUCUGUGCCGCAGUUAACACAAUAAGUACUCCGCCUGGGAAGUACGAUCGCAAGAUUAAAACUCAAAUGAAUUGACGG
rnacentral:rRNA from 1 species